rnacentral:rRNA from 1 species
UUCCUUGUCGGGUAAGUUCCGACCUGCACGAAUGGCGUAAUGAUGGCCAGGCUGUCUCCACCCGAGACUCAGUGAAAUUGAACUCGCUGUGAAGAUGCAGUGUACCCGCGGCAAGACGGAAAGACCCCGUGAACCUUUACUAUAGCUUGACACUGAACAUUGAGCCUUGAUGUGUAGGAUAGGUGGGAGGCUUUGAAGUGUGGACGCCAGUCUGCAUGGAGCCGACCUUGAAAUACCACCCUUUAAUGUUUGAUGUUCUAACGUUGACCCGUAAUCCGGGUUGCGGACAGUGUCUGGUGGGUAGUUUGACUGGGGCGGUCUCCUCCUAAAGAGUAACGGAGGAGCACGAAGGUUGGCUAAUCCUGGUCGGACAUCAGGAGGUUAGUGCAAUGGCAUAAGCCAGCUUGACUGCGAGCGUGACGGCGCGAGCAGGUGCGAAAGCAGGUCAUAGUGAUCCGGUGGUUCUGAAUGGAAGGGCCAUCGCUCAACGGAUAAAAGGUACUCCGGGGAUAACAGGCUGAUACCGCCCAAGAGUUCAUAUCGACGGCGGUGUUUGGCACCUCGAUGUCGGCUCAUCACAUCCUGGGGCUGAAGUAGGUCCCAAGGGUAUGGCUGUUCGCCAUUUAAAGUGGUACGCGAGCUGGGUUUAGAACGUCGUGAGACAGUUCGGUCCCUAUCUGCCGUGGGCGCUGGAGAACUGAGGGGGGCUGCUCCUAGUACGAGAGGACCGGAGUGGACGCAUCACUGGUGUUCGGGUUGUCAUGCCAAUGGCACUGCCCGGUAGCUAAAUGCGGAAGAGAUAAGUGCUGAAAGCAUCUAAGCACGAAACUUGCCCCGAGAUGAGUUCUCCCUGACUCCUUGAG